AGAGUUUGAUCCUGGCUCAGGAUGAACGCUGGCGGCGUGCUUAACACAUGCAAGUCGAACGAACCUUCGGGUUAGUGGCGGACGGGUGAGUAACGCGUGAGAAUCUGCCCUCAGGAGGGGGAUAACGGCUGGAAACGGCCGCUAAUACCCCAUAUGCCGAGAGGUGAAAUGAAUUUCGCCUGAGGAUGAGCUCGCGUCUGAUUAGCUAGUUGGUGGGGUAAAGGCUUACCAAGGCUUCGAUCAGUAGCUGGUCUGAGAGGAUGAUCAGCCACACUGGGACUGAGACACGGCCCAGACUCCUACGGGAGGCAGCAGUGGGGAAUUUUCCGCAAUGGGCGAAAGCCUGACGGAGCAACGCCGCGUGAGGGAUGAAGGCCUCUGGGCUGUAAACCUCUUUUAUCAAGGAAGAAGAUCUGACGGUACUUGAUGAAUAAGCCACGGCUAAUUCCGUGCCAGCAGCCGCGGUAAUACGGGAGUGGCAAGCGUUAUCCGGAAUUAUUGGGCGUAAAGCGUCCGCAGGCGGUCUUACAAGUCUGUCGUUAAAGCGUGGAGCUUAACUCCAUUUCGGCGAUGGAAACUGUAAGACUAGAGUGUGGUAGGGGCAGAGGGAAUUCCCGGUGUAGCGGUGAAAUGCGUAGAUAUCGGGAAGAACACCAGUGGCGAAGGCGCUCUGCUGGGCCAUAACUGACGCUCAUGGACGAAAGCCAGGGGAGCGAAAGGGAUUAGAUACCCCUGUAGUCCUGGCCGUAAACGAUGAACACUAGGUGUCGGGGGAAUCGACCCCCUCGGUGUCGUAGCCAACGCGUUAAGUGUUCCGCCUGGGGAGUACGCACGCAAGUGUGAAACUCAAAGGAAUUGACGGGGGCCCGCAC
rnacentral:rRNA from 1 species